rnacentral:lncRNA from 1 species
AAUCAUGAUUUAAAUCAAGCUGAUUUAAAUCAACAAACCCUGAUACGGACCAUAAAUAUUUUUAAAUUUUGGAAAUUGAGAAACCUUGAACGACCCUGUAUUUGAUUAAUAGAUCUCGUGCCUUUUAAACGGAAAAUUUCCGCUUUUAAAUAUAUGAUAAUUGUGAGCUAUAACUUUUAACGAGUGGUGAAUUUACUACUUUCUAAAUUUGGCAUUUGUGAAUAAAAAACUAACUUCUAAUAGGAGGCAUUUUUUUUUCAAAUUUAGAAAGCAGUAAACUAAUUCGCGAGAAUUUUUCUAGCUUGUAAUUCUUGACUACUAAAAGAAUGAAAGUGAACUAAUUCGUUGAAAUGAACUGAUUGUUUGGGAUGAUUUCUUUGGCGCAUGUCCUACAUUGUUGGUUGAUGACGCCGUGACGCUUUUGUUGAAACUAAACUUUUAACUUUCCACGGGAAAGAUACAGAAAAAAUAAGAUCCGAAGUCUCUUUCUCGGAACAUCUUUUAUCUACUCCAUUGAUAUUUUUUUUCCUUCAGAGCUUUCAGACUCAAGACUUUAAAUUGUAUAUUUGUUUUCUAAAGAAAUGCUGAUGACGAAGACGUAUUUGGUGGAUUUCGCAAAGGGGCAUUAUGCGACUUUUCUUUUGUACUUUUCCGAAUGAAAAUUUGUCUUUGAUUUUCAUCACACCGUUUCCUGUCUUUGAUGAUGAGUUAUUUAUCUUUAGCUUUUUUUUUCUUCCUGACAUAAAUUACUAUUUUCAUCAUUCUGAUUGAUUGCAGUAAAGUUUCUUCAGUUAUUGUUAACUUUUCUUCAAAAGGUGUUUGUUUUAGCUGUUUUUCGCGGUAAGAAGUAAAUACGACAGCAAUCAAACUGAUUGAUGGGCAUACCCUUUGUUUUGAAAUUAAGCAAAUGGUGAUUAAUUUAUUUCCAUUUUUUAUUAGAUGAAUCUGUAUGAAGCUGCUAAAAAUUUACAAUAUAUAUUCUUAUGCGCUUGUAGUAUAUUUUUAUUAGCUUUUGAGAUGAAACUAAUAUUGAUUAAUGUAUCGUUAUCUUUUAAAAAUCUGGGUUAUCGUUUAUUUAAUGUAAUAUCCAUAUAAAGCCGACAAAAUUUUAAAAAAAAAAAUCCAAAUGGGUUUUUCCCCUCUUUGAUUAGUGUUCCGUAUAUAAAAACUCUAUUCUGCACGAAUUUUUAAGUGCUUCUAGUUCAAAAUUUUUGGAACAUCGCAGUUGAGUUUCGGCUGUCAAUCUUUCAAAUACUUGAUUAGUGCUUGUUUAUUAGAUAUAUCAAUGUAAAGCUGCUAAAAUUAACAAUAUAAGUAUUCUUAUACGUUGUAAUAUAUUUUAUUAGCUUUUUAAAUUAAACAAAUAUUAAUUAAUGUAUAGACCUGAAAAUAACCACUCGCCGCAUAGAGAGAGUCAGCAAAUUAAAAUUAAAAAAAAACGACUUAGAAAGAAAGACUUAGAUAGAUCUUUCAGUUUUCAAUAAGACACCCCACAGUCGAAUUGCGAACAUGAUUAAAUGAGUCUUGCUGGAUAAGAUUUUCCCAGUGAUUAGGAGAUCCGUUUUGCUAACUAUGGGAGGUUUUCAUGACUUUUUCUCCGCGUAACACAAAUGUAAGUUUGUUCUAAACAAAAUAGGGGAUUUUAACUUCAGUCACUGUAAAGAGUAAAAUCGAUGAAUAUAAAGGUUUUCUGUGAUCACCUCCCUUAAUAUAAAUAUCAGAUUUCCUCAUCGAAAAUGAAUGUCAAGGAUUCUUUAAAACAUUUAUUAAGAGCUGUCACUACGGUGCAUCCUGUAUUAGUAAUUAAAAGUUUAUUCCACAUGGAACAAUCUAUUAUUAUAAAUUAAUUAAUUAUUAAAUAUUGCUCAUUAAUUUUGAAUGUGAGUUUUCUAUUUUAUCCAAAACCUUUAAUUCUGAACUUUAAAAGUUAAACAUAUUCUAUUCUCGAAAACAAAAGGUAUUAUGACGUAAUAUAAUAUGUUUGUGUCCGGUAAAAUCUUCGACAAAAGAUCCUGGUGUUUCCAAUUACGCUUUUUAAGUUGACUUCUCCAAUUACUUGAUGAAAGCAAAUAUUUUUCCAAGUCGAAAACAUUCUUCAAACAUAGAACCCCAAUCACGAGGUUUUAAAUUUCGCCCACAACAUCCGCAUUACACGAAUGGAAGAACAAUUGCAACAUUUUCAUCCCCUUGAUGUUGUUGACCAAGGACAGAUUUCAUAAAUUAUAUUUUGAUCAGCUGAAAGAAUCGGAUUUCAUCAAUUUGGAUGCCUGCCAAACUAUAUUGUAAGGUAUGAUUUUCAAUCCAAUUUCUUUUCCGUGUUAUUGCUUUUUAUGACCCCACCCCCUUUUGAAUCUCGCCGCUGGCGUCAUUAAUAAAUGAAAUAUCGAUUAUUUUCUUGGGCGAGGAACGUCUAUUGUUUUACUUCUUCCGUUUCGUUCGAAUAAAAGGAACCUUUUGUUUCAAUUCUUUUGAUUUUUUUUUCUUCUAAUUUUUAAUUUUAACUGUGAAAAGCUGGCGAAACACAGUAUAAGAACAAAACACCUUGAAUAAUUUUUGACCUAAUGAUUAGAAUUUUGCAUAUGGAAUCUCAGUUUGAGGGGCACACCUUAAAAAUACCACCUAAUUAGUUCAUAGAGUAGUAAUUUAAGUUACAAAAUACAGACGCAAAAACUUACUUACGUCGAAUAAAUUAAAGUGUUAGGAGCAAUUUAAUGAUAAGUUGUAUUUUCAAAUCGUUCGAUGAAAAAACAAAAUGUUGGCUAAGAUAUUUCGGUGUGUUGUGCUGCUAUCUAUGAGAAAUGCCGGAAACUUGCUAAGUACCUUUCUCAAAUCAAUGCCUGAACA